GGUUCGAUGGCGUAGUUGGUUAUCGCAUCUGUCUAACACACAGAAGGUCCCCGGUUCGAGCCCGGGUCGAACCA